rnacentral:rRNA from 1 species
CCUACGGGAGGCAGCAGUGGGGAAUAUUGCGCAAUGGGCGAAAGCCUGACGCAGCGACGCCGCGUGCGGGAUGAAGGUCUUCGGAUCGUAAACCUCUGUCAGCAGGGAAGUACGGGCACUGUGCUAAUCAGCAGUUAAUUGACGGUACCUGCAAAGGAAGCACCGGCUAACUCCGUGCCAGCAGCCGAGGUAAUACGGAGGGUGCGAGCGUUAAUCGGAAUUACUGGGCGUAAAGCGCUCGUAGGCGGUAUGUCAAGUCAAGGGUGAAAUCCCCGCGCUCAACGUGGGAACUGCAGUUGAAACUGGCAGACUGGAGUGUGUGAGAGGAUAGUGGAAUUCAAGGUGUAGGAGUGAAAUCCGUAGAUAUCUGGAGGAACAUCAGUGGCGAAGGCGAGUAUCUGGCACAUAACUGACGCUGAGGAGCGAAAGCGUGGGUAGCAAACAGGAUUAGAUACCCGAGUAGUC